rnacentral:rRNA from 1 species
GAUGACCGCUAGCGGCAGGCCUAAUACAUGCAAGUCGAACGGUGUCUUCGGACAUAGUGGCGCACGGGUGCGUAACACGUAUGCAACCUACCUUACAUUGGGGGAUAGCCUUUCGAAAGGGAGAUUAAUACCGCAUAAGACAGUAGCUGGGCAUCCAGCAGCUGUUAAAGAUUUAUCGAUGUAAGCUGGGCAUGCGUCCAAUUGGCUAGUUGGUGAGGUAACGGCUCACCAAGGCAAUGAUUGGUAGGGGAACUGAGAGGUCAAUCCCCCACACUGGCACUGAGAUACGGGCCAGACUCCUACGGGAGGCAGCAGUAGGGAAUAUUGGGCAAUGGACGCAAGUCUGACCCAGCCAUGCCGCGUGCAGGAUGAAGGCGUUAUGCGUUGUAAACUGCUUUUAUACAGGAAGAAACGACUCUUGCGAGAGGCAUUGACGGUACUGUAUGAAUAAGCACCGGCUAACUCCGUGCCAGCCGCCGCCGUAAGAC